CGUAGUAUAGUAUUCUUCUCUGUGCUUCAGGGACCACUUCAGUGCCUCCCAAUUCUUGUAUUCCCAUGAAGCCCAUGAACCUACUAUUGAUACCCAGGACCCCCAUGUCCCCAGCACCACAACCAGAACCCAAAACCACUC
rnacentral:ribozyme from 1 species